AUGCUCUCUCUCAUUAAAAAAAAAAAAGUAAUUAUACAGAGAAGAUUAGCAUGGCUCCUGUGCAAGGAUGACACACAAAUUCAUGAAGCAUUCCAUAAAAAG